rnacentral:rRNA from 1 species
CCUACGGGAUGCAGCAGUCGAGAAUCAUUCACAAUGGGGGCAACCCUGAUGGUGCGACGCCGCGUGGGGGAAUGAAGGUCUUCGGAUUGUAAACCCCUGUCAUGUGGGCGCAAAUUAAAAAGAUAGUACCACAAGAGGAAGAGACGGCUAACUCUGUGCCAACAGCCGCGGUAAUACAGCGGUCACAAGCGUUGUUCGGAAUCACUGGGCGUAAAGCGUGCGUAGGCUGUUUCGUAAGUCGUGUGUGAAAGGCGCGGGCUCAACCCGCGGACGGCACAUGAUACUGCGAGACUAGAGUAAUGGAGGGGGAACUGGAAUUCUCGGUGUAGCAGUGAAAUGCGGAGAUAGCGAGAGGAACACUCGUGGCGAAGGCGGGUUCCUGGACAUUAACUGACGCUGAGGCACGAAGGCCAGGGGAGCGAAAGGGAUUAGAUACCCCUGUAGUC